CAGCAGCCGCGGUAAUACGGAGGGUGCAAGCGUUAAUCGGAAUUACUGGGCGUAAAGCGUGCGUAGGCGGUUCGUUAAGUCUGUUGUGAAAGCCCCGGGCUCAACCUGGGAAUGGCAAUGGAUACUGGCGAGCUAGAGUGUGUCAGAGGAUGGUGGAAUUCCCGGUGUAGCGGUGAAAUGCGUAGAGAUCGGGAGGAACAUCAGUGGCGAAGGCGGCCAUCUGGGACAACACUGACGCUGAGGCACGAAAGCGUGGGGAGCAAACAGGAUUAGAUACCCGCGUAGUCCCUGUCUCUUAUAC
rnacentral:rRNA from 1 species